ACCAAUAAACACAUGCUUUUUCGUAUAAUCUCGGGGAUUUGGCCUGAGAGUUUCUACGAGAUCACCAUAAUGAUCUGGCUACGAAAAGAAGAGAAGUGCAA
rnacentral:ncRNA from 2 species